CCCCUAGUAACUGCGAGUGAAGCGGGAAAAGCUCAAAUUUAAAAUCUGGCAGUCUCUGGCUGUCCGAGUUGUAAUCUAGAGAAGUGAUGCCCGCGCUGGACCGUGUACAAGUCUCCUGGAAUGGAGCGUCAUAGAGGGUGAGAAUCCCGUCUCUGACACGGACUACCAGGGCUUUGUGGUAUCCUCUCAAAGAGUCGAGUUGUUUGGGAAUGCAGCUCUAAAUGGGUGGUAAAUUCCAUCUAAAGCUAAAUAUUGGCGAGAGACCGAUAGCGAACAAGUACCGUGAGGGAAAGAUGAAAAGAACUUUGGAAAGAGAGUUAAACAGUACGUGAAAUUGCUGAAAGGGAAACGCUUGAAGUCAGUCGCGUUAGCUGGGAAUCAGCCUCGCUCUUGCGUGGUGUACUUUCUGGUUGACGGGUCAGCAUCAAUUUUGACUGCUGGAAAAAGGCUUAGGGAAUGUGGCAGCUUCGGCUGUGUUAUAGCCCUUGGUCACAUACAGCGGUUGGGAUUGAGGAACUCAGCACGCCGCAAGGCCGGGUUUCGACCACGUUCGUGCUUAGGAUGCUGGCAUAAUGGCUUUAAGCGACCCGUCUUGAAACACGGACCAAGGAGUCUAACAUGCCUGCGAGUGUUUGGGUGGUAAAACCCGAGCGCGUAAUGGAAAGUGAAAGUUGAGAUCCCCUGUCCGUGGGGGAGC
rnacentral:rRNA from 1 species